UCUUGGCUCGGUCUGCAUUCUGUAUUUGUUUUAUCCAUGGAAACUCCUUGCACAAUAAAACCUCUUGCUGUAAACUCAAGCCAUCCAUUUCCGAGCAGCGACCUAUCCUCCACUCGCAAGCCCCACCUGAGUGGCCAUGACAACAGAGCGUAUACAAAGGUGCAGGCCUGGGGCUGACCCAUAACCACGCCUGCGGACAGUCUAGCCUGGGAGACGUAAGGGUAGAGACAGGACGUUUUGGCCUUGGGGUUGUCCCAAGACCUCCAGCUGGCCUUUACAAGUCUGAGGAUGGAUGGCUGCCUGUGCUACUGGCUGAAAAAGGGAGAGAAAUUUAAAAUGGGGAAAUAAAGUAGGACUGACCAAUACAUCUUUUCCUCCCAGUGCAAGCCUUUGAAAUGCUUCCAAGAAGUAUUUUGUUAGAAAUGCAAGCCUCAGCAUCAGGAUUACUGCAAGGUCUGGCUGCUGACCUCCCAUCACCGAAGUAGUGUUUGGUUUGUAGGCAGUGUAGUUAGCUGAUUGUGUCAGUCCCUUGGCAAUCACUAACUUCACUGCCAUCAAAACAAGGCACAGAAUUGCUUGCUUUCCGGUGCCAGCAUGGAGACCUGCCUCCCUUGGUGACUUCCUGGAGCCCGGCUUGAAAUGGGCAUUUGUGGGGGUUUUUGCUGCUUAAUUUUCUGAAAUGUCCAUUGUCCAGCAAAGGAUGGACAAAUUCCCAUUGGUUUCAGUGGAGCAAAGAUGUCACUUGUGUUCAGGGUUUUUGGCUUGAUGAAAAUACUUCAGACAUACGGUCCUUUGUGCUCUCAGCCUGGGCCAAGGAACAUCCUAAGAGCAAAGAAUUCAAGUCUGGUUCAUCUGACCUUAAAGAUUGUCUUGAAGCCCUGAACGUUUGUGCUGGACUCCUCGCCGUUUCUUUUUCUUUGUGUGUUAAUAGGAAGAUUGCUUCCAUGCAGGCAUUGGUUCUUAUUUAAGAAACUAAAAAAUAUUAAAGGAUAUACAUACUCUUGAAUACACUUUAAAAAAAAAAAAAAAAAAAGGGUAGGGGCCUUUACCACCUUAGCAAUAUGCCAUCUGAUCGACUUUGCUGAACUUCUAAGGAUUAAUAAGGAAGAAAGCUCAGCUCAGCUUAUUAGGACUACCUGGUGCCAUAUUUUAAUUACAAGACCCACUCUUAGUUAAAAAAAACAAUUACAAAAUGUUGGAACAGAGCUAUCUUGUACCUCAGCCUAGUUGCUAGGCAGUGUAGUUAGCUGAUUGCAAAAGGCAACAAUCACUAACCACACAGCCAGGUAAAAAGGUCUGUCUUGCAUCUAGCUAGCUGGAAGCCAGGAAUGCGGAAGGGAUUUAGCCGCACGGAUGGCAGCUUGACCAGCGUCGCAGUGCGUGGCCAGAGCAGAGCCAACCGCGCAGGCUGGAUUUGCCUUUAACCACGCACAUGCUGUCAACUUCCCCGUCAAGCCAAUGUGGCGCAGCUGUUUCACCGCUCCCAAAAGGGAGGCACGUGCUUACAUCUGAAGAUGCGUGGCAACAUUUGGAUGCAGAAAGAAAACGCAAAACAGAAGGCAGCGUGUCUGCUGGUGUACGGUCUGAUUCUGAUCUCGCUGCUACCUCCCACCUCUGCUACUUCAAGCGCGUUACUCCCCAUUUACACCCGUUGAAGUGACACUGGAAUCCAGCUUAAAAUCCUUUCAGGGGGGUGGCUGUUAUGUACUGUUUGCGUUGCCAUAGGACCAGGAUUGCUUUGUGCUAGGCGCUGCCUGAAAAUAGAUCACAAGGACAGUCCCUGCCACAAAGAGCUUACAAUCAAGCAUAUGAAUUGCCUCACAGGCUUUUGUUCCUUAUUGAGGGGCUUUAUAUGGACAGAUGGUAGCAAAGCUCACCGUGGGCAUGCAGUGCUGAGCUCCACUCCCAGGACAGGAAAGGUUAGGACAAGAACUGCCAGGUCCUACGAAGCCUGUUGUUUGCUUGUGUCCCUACCUGAUGUAAAAUAUAAAUACACCUGCUAGCCCGAGUCUGUUGCUCUCCCCCUGGUCUUUCGGUAACUAGUGAAUUUGAUUCUCCCCGUCCCUUUGUAUGACAUUGUUUCACUUGCCUGGAGCCGUGUGUGAGAGUUGUAUAUCAUAAAAAUGCUCCUCUCAAAUUCAAAGCUAUAUGAAAACAUUUCUACUUUUAUUUGAAGCAGAUGGACUGAUGGAAAUCAACUUUCCAAAAGGAAAGAAAGAAGCAGCCCAAUAAAAGCCACAGGAAAUAAUUUUUCAGUGGAAGCAAUAACCUGGUGCAGGCUCGAUCGAUAGCCGUGCUACUGUUCCAGAGAAGCACCGAGAGGAGAGCCAGGAGCCCUGGGGCCUGAUUUCCAUGUCUGCUUUGGGCCAGAUCUGACAUUCUUCACUCAACUAAACCUCUUGCUGACUUCAGUGAGCCUUUGGCUCCUUUACUGCUUCAAGGAAGCCUGACACUUCAUCAGAAACCUGGAUUUUUAUUUUAUAAUCCCCCAAUGUGAUUCAGGUUUGCUGCUGCUGCCGAAGUAUAGUUCAGCUAAGUGUCAGCUUUGUGAGGAGCUGGCUGGCUCAUGGGGUUGGUAAUGCACGUGGAGCAUCUUGGCUGUAAUUCACUGGUUUAAAUCAGACUCCUGUACUGGCAGCUGCGGAAAGCUGAGAGUAGCUGCUGGCUCUGCAACACCCGAGUGAGAGCUAAAGUUACGCUUUCAGCAGCAAUACAUGAAUGCCCCCGCAUUGCACAUGGCAGAAACCUGUGCUCCCACAUGGUGUGUGGAUCCGUACCCUCAGGGCUUGUCUAUGCUGGUUUUGUAGCCAGCCUGGCAGCGCUGACGGGAAGCGCGACUUGCCUACUCGCUCUUGCCAAGUCUGCAGAACAAGGCAUGGCAGCUGCUUUCGAACAGAGCCCAGCGUGUACCCGCAGCCGCGGUCGGACCGUCUCGGGCAGGCUCCUGGACACAGACUCAGGGUCACUUGGGCAGAUUCGUUGCCCAAUUUGGGGUGAAGUGUGAGUAGAUCAGGCAGAGCAAGUGUUUUUGUGCUGCUCAGAAGCUGUGGCAAUCCCUCCAUUCGAGGGUGAUUUCUACCACGGCUCUCUGAUGGGUCUUGAGUUGACUAUGGGGAUCGACGAGAGCAAUUCCACGUAGCGAUCCCUGGUAACAUCUCUGGCGGCCAAGAGCUCCCAAAUCAACCAAAACGCCAAAAGAGGGAGGAAGGCGGUUGCCCUGGUGCCCCGGCACGAGCUGGAACAAAUCCUCCUGGAAGCCCAGAAAGCUGAAGAAAAGGAAAAGUAUCUUCAGAAGGCCAAGAGAAGAGAUGAAAUACUAGCUCUACUGAGGAAGCAACGAGAAGAACGGAUCGCGGUGAGGCUACUUGCUUUUUAGAUUAGUGUCUGAUGCGUCUGUCUCAAGGCAGUCUUUCCUUAGCCUGUUCUGUAACACAGCAUGGACUACCAAAGCUACCCGGAUGAGCCUGCUGGUGGUGGUGGUAGUAGGUGGUUUCUAGUCUGAGAAGCAUCUUGCGAGUAAGAUGCACAUUAGUUUGGAUGUUAAUGGACAUUGAAAAAAGGAAGCACAAUGCCUCCAUCUUUCCUUCUAAUCUGGACAGUGGAUAUAGGGAAGGGUCCAUGGAUACAGGGAAGUAAUACAGCAUAUAGGCAAAGCGACCAAGGGUGUAACUGGCCAUGUCUUGGGCUGGCUUUUAUUUUUAAGAUUGCGUAGGUUAUACCAAAAGACCACCAUAGCAGCCAUAAUCAGGCAGCUACUUUCUUGUGAGACAUUGAGAUAGAAGAGGGACCUGAGGAAGGACUAAAAUGUGACCUUGUAGAGAAGCCCAGGUCUGACAUUUCUUGCCUUAGUGUGGGGAGGCAGGUGUAGAGCUGUCGAUGGGAGAGGCAGGCAGGGGCUGAGGCUGGCAUCAUCGAUAGGGAGGAGGUGAGAAAUGAGAAACGUUGCAGGACCCAUGGUCGUUGUGUCUUGUUGUAAGUACUAGCCUAUAAAUAAUGAGAAUGGAAAUCAAAUGCAAAGCAAAAUAAGGAUAAAAUUAACUGAAAAACUUGAAUGGGCAUCAGUAACAGAAGAAACACUUCCGUUCGUUUUAAUUAACCACUUUUUAAUACAACUCAAUGGGAGUAGCUACAAUUCUCAAUUAAAUGCAGUAGAGGAGACUUUACAGCCUCUUGGCUUUUUUUCAGACCUCAGUUUUGCAUUUCCCCCUGUCAGCUUUUCCACUUUAACACCCUGUCGCCAAAGCUUUAUAGGCAAGCUGCAAAACUCGCUGAAGUCCUGUUUGCCUGAAUAAAAGCAUUCCCUUCCUGCAGAGGCAUUCAGUAAAGUACGUCGUAUAAACCAAAGCACGUCCUGCCGAAGAGCCACACGCCCUACUUGAUAGAAAUAAGUACCAACUAACAGAAGGGAGCAAUGCUAUAGUUUUUUUCAGGCAGACAAAUACAACAAUUUGAAAUGGUGACUUGGAAAGCAAGAUGUCAUAAGACGAAGCCUUUAUUUUAAAAGAAAAAUGUGGUGUUAAUAUCAAAAGUGUUCUUUUUUUUUUCUUCCAUUUAUUCCACGGUUGUAAAGUGCUUCAUAAUAAGUCCUUCCUUGUCUGAGAGUUUAUUCAAAUCUGGACCAAAAAAUGUCUGUUGUAUAAGACUCUUUCCAAGUGUUAGCAAUGAAAGCAUAAUCCAAAGGCCUGGUGAUAUUUCUUGUAUUUAAAAGCUAAAUUGCUACAAGCAUGUCCACCAAUAAUAGUCUGCAAUUCUUCUCAUGUUUGUUGCUUGUUUUUUAUGCAUGAAUUUUAUGUGCUGCUAUAUGUGAGCUAGGUAUACUACUAAAUUACAGAAACACCUGA